UCCGGGAUGGUGUAACGGUAGCACGACUGGCUCUGAACCAGUUAGCCUAGGUUCGAAUCCUAGUCCCGGAA
rnacentral:tRNA from 2 species